CCCUUAGAUGUCCUGGGCCGCACGCGCGCUACACUGAUGCAUUCAACGAGUUUUACCUUGGCCGAGAGGCCUGGGCAAUCUUUUAAACCUGCAUCGUGAUAGGGAUAGAUUAUUGCAAUUAUUAAUCUUGAACGAGGAAUUCCUAGUAAACGCAAAUCAUCAAUUUGCAUUGAUUACGUCCCUGCCCUUUGUACACACCGCCCGUCGCACCUACCGAUUGAAUGAUCCGGUGAAAUCUCGGGAUUGUGGCCAGUUCACUUUAUUGGGAGUUGGCCGUGAGAACUUGCUUAAACCUUAUCAUUUAGAGGAAGGUGAAGUCGUAACA
rnacentral:rRNA from 1 species